UCUUUAUAGUUGUAUCCAUAUGAUGUGCCAGACUUAGGUUCAUAUUUCACCAGGUUGUUGUUAAAUAGCAAUACGGAAAGUAUCAUGCUGUAUGAUGUUUCC